rnacentral:ncRNA from 1 species
CUGUCGUCCGGAUUAAAAGGGAAUCGGGUGAAAAUCCCGGACAGUCCCGCUGCUGUGAAGCUCCGUUUACGCUUUGAUCAUACGAUACCACUGGUUUCGAAAGGGGCCGGGAAGGUUUCAAAGCGGGAGUCAGUCAGAAGACCUGCCGUUCGUAAA